AGAUUGAACGCUAGCGGGGAUGCUUUACACAUGCAAGUCGAACGGCAGCGCGGACUUCGGUCUGGCGGCGAGUGGCGAACGGGUGAGUAAUAUAUCGGAACGUGCCCAGUAGCGGGGGGAUAACUACGCGAAAGCGUGGCUAAUACCGCAUACGCCCUACGGGGGAAAGGGGGGGAGUUCUUCGGAACCUCUCACUAUUGGAGCGGCCGAUAUCAGAUCAGCUAGUUGGUGAGGUAAAAGGCUCACCAAAGGCGACGAUCUGUAGCUGGUUUGAGAGGACGACCAGCCACACUGGGACUGAGACACGGCCCAGACUCCUACGGGAGGCAGCAGUGGGGGAAUUUUGGACAAUGGGGG
rnacentral:rRNA from 1 species